rnacentral:rRNA from 1 species
ACUUUAGGGAUAACAGCGCAGUUUUUCCAGAGAGUUCUAAUCGGCGGAAAAGAUUACGACCUCGAUGUUGAAUUGAAAUUCCUCCUGCAGAGCAGAAGCGCGGGAAGGGAGUCUGUUCGACUCUUAAAUUUUCACAUG